UACGUAGGGGGCUAGCGUUGUCCGAAGUUACUGGGCGUAAAGCGCGUGUAGGCGGGUUGUUAAGUCCGCUGUGAAAGCCCGGUGCUCAACGCCGGAGGGUCGGUGGAUACUGGCAGUCUUGAAGUGGCUAGGGGGAAAUGGAAUUACCGGUGUAGCGGUGAAAUGCGUAGAUAUCGGUAGGAACACCAGUGGCGAAGGCGGUUUCCUGGAGCUAACUUGACGCUGAGACGCGAAAGCUGGGGGAGCAAACGGG
rnacentral:rRNA from 1 species